rnacentral:lncRNA from 1 species
CAGGUAUCAUUUUGUUUUUGAAUAUUUUCAAUCUGUGGUUGGUUGAAUUCGUAGGUGCUGAAGCCAUGGAUGCUGAGGGUUGACUAUGUACUGCUCUGUUCUUUCAGUGCUCUUUGCUUUCCACCUGCCUGAAGGCCUGCCUUGCUCUCAUAUCUCUGCCAUGGCCCGUCAGUGUCCCACCAGCUCUUCAGCUCAGCUCAGCCCAAAGUCUGAUGUCCAUUCUUCUUUUGAAUUUUUUUUUAUUUGUAAAUACAAGUCCCCAAGAGCACUUGGUGUGAAGAUGUCAUCCAACACUCGAAGACAAUCAGUCUCUUAGGAGAGGGGGAAUCUACAGAUGGCCUAUUAUCACG